CCUGAAAGAUGUCACAUUGAAGA
rnacentral:piRNA from 1 species